rnacentral:rRNA from 1 species
AACGAACGCUGGCGGCAGGCCUAACACAUGCAAGUCGAGCGGACAUCUUCGGAUGUUAGCGGCGGACGGGUGAGUAACGCGUGGGAACGUGCCCUUUGCUUCGGAAUAGCCUCGGGAAACUGGGAGUAAUACCGGAUGUACCCUUUGGGGGAAAGAUUUAUCGGCAAAGGAUCGGCCCGCGUUGGAUUAGGUAGUUGGUGGGGUAAGGGCCUACCAAGCCGACGAUCCAUAGCUGGUUUGAGAGGAUGAUCAGCCACACUGGGACUGAGACCCGGCCCAGACCCCUCCGGGAGGCAGCAGUGGGGAAUCUUAGACAAUGGGAGAAACCCUGAUCUACCCGUGCCGCGUGGGCGAUGAAGGCCUUAGGGUUGUAAAGCUCUUUCACCGGGGAAGAUAAUGACGGUACCCGGAGAAGAAGCCCCGGCUACCUCCUU